UACGUAGGGACCGAGCGUUGUCCGGAAUCAUUGGGCGUAAAGAGCGUGUAGGCGGCCACUUAAGUCCUGCGUGAAAUCUUGCGGCUCAACCGCAAGCGGUCGUGGGAAACUGGGUGGCUAGAGUGCGGGAGAGGAGAGUGGAAUUCCUGGUGUAGCGGUGGAAUGCGCAGAUAUCAGGAAGAACACCCGUGGCGAAGGCGGCUCUCUGGAACGCAACUGACGCUGAGACGCAAAAGCGUGGGGAGCAAACAGG
rnacentral:rRNA from 1 species